rnacentral:lncRNA from 1 species
AAUUGAUUUGCCGAAUAAAAUUAAAAGCCAGCCAUUUAAUACAAGCCAUCUUAGACUUUCUGAUAUAAUUGGUGUACCAAAAUCUACCAUAGCACAGCCUCAUAGCAGUUUUUUGUAGAAUAACAAGAAACUGCUAUGAGGCUACAACAAGAAACAAGAAGAAAACAACAGGAAAACCAACUGCAUGACGAAUGGGCAUUACAGAAAAAAAUUUCAGGAACAUCCAAAAGAAAGCAUGAUGGAAAGUAUCCAGAGGUCAAAGAAGCAUUAGAUCAAUGGUUUUCUAUAGUUAGUGGGCAAGGCAUGAAUAUCAGCAGUUCAGUGUUGAAGGCAAAAUCAGAGGAGAUCAU